ensembl:lncRNA
UGGUGUAGCAUGGGUGUUCAGGGCUGUGUUUUCACUGCAUGGUCUGUUUAAACGCAAAGGGUGGAAGAGUUAAGGCACCAGGUGUUGCUGUGACUGACUUCGCUAAUCAUCUCAGGGGGAGCUGUACUCCGUUUUUCUGCUGGAUUAAUGCACUCUUUCUCUUCACUACGGAAAUGAUUCUGCGAUCAACGACCACUAUUGUCGUCGGUGAAAGUCCAGGUCUUUUUGCUGGGUUCAAAAGUGCUUUCCUUUUUUUCAGGAUGUACCAAACUGUAGGUUUCACCACUCCUAAUAUUGUAACAAUUUCUCAGAUGGGUUUUUUCUGUUGUCACAGAUUAAGAAUGGCUUGUUUCACCUGCAUGGAGAGCUCAUUUGACUGCAGGCAAUCUACUGAGAGCCAAAUCUUUCACAUACAUGUUUCUAUGUCUAAAUCUAAGCUGGCUCCAUAGAGACUGUUUAUCGUGUCCCUGAGCCCCUGAGUCUGAGUCUCCUAAGCCACCCAAGCCAGCUGAGCCCAAAGCUGAGCAUAUGUUUUCCAAACAUGUGCAUUUCGACUGUGAGACUGCCUCCUUGCAGAAAUGGAAAUUACACACUGAUUUAAGAAUGUUUUCUCAGAAUGAAUUUACCUGAGCUGUGAGAUAUAAGGCAGACAUUCAAGGAAACUCCUCACUUCACUCUCUUCAUGUGAGCAGCCUGUCAGCUUCACUUGUUUCUUCUCUGGUUGGAGUUUCAGCACUUCCAGGAGGAUGGAGGUCUUUCUCUCUGAGAGGUUUAUGGACCAGACUGCAGGAGCUGACUGGAUAACUGACUGUAAUGAUGGUAAGAUGCUCACGUCUGCUUUGGUCUCAUAAGAGCACAGGUCCAUAAGAAAAUCACACCAUUUCUCUUUAAGAGGGAAUCUUUCAUAUGUGCACACUGAUGAUAACAGCUCCAGUAUCUCCUCUCCUGUCUGCUGUUCUCUCUCUGCUGCUGCACAGAACAGAUUCCCAAAGAACUUAGCUUCUUCACAAAAAUCUGAAUUCUCAGGAUCAACACUGAAACAUCAAAAAACAAACAUUUAGUGAUGAUUUGAUCUGAGCUGCAUAAACACAACCACACACUACUGACGGACUCCAUCUUGUCCAUGUGUGUCCUGUAUAUAAUGAAAGUCCAUUUUAAAGCCAUCUUCCAUCAGAGCAGCUGAACAUUGUUUUUAGACUGUUACUGACUCACAAUUCAAUUCAAUUCAAUUCAAUUCAAUUCAAUUCAGUUUUAUUUAUAUAGCGCCAAAUCACAACAACAGUCACCUCAAGGCGCUUUAUAUUGUACAGUAGAUCGUACAAUAACAGAUACAG